GCCCGCCUAGCUCAAUCGGAUAGAGCGUCAGACUUUUAAGGCGGGUUGUCUUUGUAAUCUGAAGGCUGCGAGUUCGACCCUCGCGGUGGGCU
rnacentral:tRNA from 1 species